rnacentral:snRNA from 1 species
ACUCAUACCUUGCAGGGGAAAUACCAUGUCAUAAAAGUGGUUUUUCCAGGGGGAGGCUCAUCCAUUGCACUUUGGGUAUGCUGCUGAUCCCUGUGAUUUCCCCAAAUGUAGGGCACUCAACUGCAUAAUUUGUGUUAAUGGGUUGUUUUUCCAGGAGGCAGACCCU